rnacentral:rRNA from 1 species
UACAGAGGGUGCAAGCGUUGUUCGGAAUUAUUGGGCGUAAAGCGCGUGUAGGCGGCUUUGCAAGUCGGGUGUGAAUCCCUCAGCUUAACUGAGGAAGUGCGCCCGAAACUGCUUUGCUUAGUGCCGGAGAGGAUGGCGGAAUUCCCCCAAGUAGAGGUGGAAAUUCGUAGAUAUGGGGAGGAACACCGGUGGCGAAGGCGGCCAUCUGGACGGUAACUGACGCUGAGACGCGAAAGCGUGGGGAGCAAACAGGGAGUUAGAUGACCCC